CAGGCAUUUUAGAUCUAGGCCCACAGAUCAGAGGCAGCAGUCUGCUGCUGGCAGCCAGAGAAAGAUCACCUGGCUGAGCUGCUGCUUUCAUCAUCUUGGAGUCUUCUGAAGACAGAGCUGCCACACUGGAUCCUGACUGAAUCUUCUCAUCAACGUUGGCUGUCUUUGAGAGAUGGCUGCUGAGGGGAGUGGAGCAGCAGCCAAGCAGAGACGAGACUGAGCCUGCCCUUAUCUCUUCGCAGCUGCUUAUCUCAUCACAGCACCCUUCAAAAGAUCUUUUAGUACCCCAGAAUGCCCCAGCACCCUGAGAAUCAGUGUUAUAUAGUAUGAACUGAAGAUGUUUAAGAACCAGGUGGAUUUUAUUUGCCCUUUGCCAUUGAGAGAAGAUUUUGUUGUAAUUGUGAAAGAGCAGUAGCUUGACUUGUAUACAACUCACUUGUAUUCAAACUGUCUAUAAGAUCUUUUGUUUAAUGAGCUUAUGUAUGAACCAUUAGAUGCUCAGAAAAUAGAGUUGCAUCAUAACUGAGGAAAGUGAGGUGUUU